AAAAAAAAAAAAAAAAAGGAAGUUAUGUUCUGCCGUAUCAGUGGAAACCCCCAAUUAAGUUUGUGCAUUGUUGGCAGUUUGCAAUUAAAUUACUCCAUUGUGAUUUGACACUUAAUUAAUGCGUAUUUUGUCUAUAUUUUUCUCGUUAUUGAAUUAUCUUCUUAUUUCUCCCCUGUUUUUUGUUUUGUAGUCUUUUAUGUGUCCUUCAGGGA
rnacentral:misc_RNA from 1 species